UACGUAGGGGGCAAGCGUUGUCCGGAUUUAUUGGGCGUAAAGAGCGUGUAGGCGGCCAGGUAGGUCUGCUGUGAAAACUCGAGGCUUAACCUCGAGCUGUCGGCGGAAACCAUCUGGCUAGAGUCCGGAAGAGGAGAAUGGAAUUCCCGGUGUAGCGGUGAAAUGCGUAGAUAUCUGGAGGAAUACCGGUGGCGAAGGCGGCAUCCUGGACCGGCAUUGACGCUGAGGAGCGAAAGCCAGGGGAGCAAACGGG
rnacentral:rRNA from 1 species